CACCUGAAUAAUGUGUAGUUGUGCCACUGCCUUGGGAAGUUCUGUGAAAAUGAGUGGUAUGUUGGACAGUGGAUUUAUGGCCUGUAGUGAAUCUGCUGAAGUGGAGUAAUAACUGUGACAAAAUUGAUGUUGAUGUAGUUCUUGUGGGAUGUGGAGGACUGCGUGUCAAACCUAAGUGUGCACUCAAUAUAGAAAUGUAAGUAUAUGGCUGUAAAAUUUUAGUUCCCACAUUAAUUGUACAGGGACAAAAUGACGACCUGAGGGCAAAUGUCAUUAAUCACAUCCUUCAUCAGUCUAAACUGUGUGAUCCAUAUUGGAAAACUAUUUCCACUCCCUGCUCAGUGUUGGACCCUGACACAGAGUUUUCUGGCCAUGCUCUCUGGUUUGAACCCUUAGAAGGGAUCGAAUAAUCCUGACAAACUUGAUACUGUGAGGUGCAACUCAGCUGUUUGUCUUGACCCAGGCCAUGAAUACUUUCUAUGGGGAAAAUUGCCUAAAAAUGCCACAGUUUCCCCAGAUAGUACAGUGAUGACAGAACCUACCACCUCACAUUCCGUUCCCUUGGGUUCAAAAAUCACAACUUGUCUUUGGGGUGAGAGAUGGGUCCCACUGAAACUCAUUAAUACCUCUGACAAACCUGUGUUCUUGCAUUGCAAUGCAGAAUUGACAGUUGUUUACUCCUGUUUAGUACUGAAGGACUUGGAAGGUGGCGACCAUUCAGACGCUUCUUACGAGUUGUUGCCAGUCAACCUAGCAAUGCUUCUCAGAUGCUACUGCAAAAGCAAAGCUUGCUUCUGUUGGCUUAGUAAUAUUGAUGUUCAUUCGUGAGACAUCUGAAAUGGUAAAGUGAAAAUGACUAGUCUUGUUUUGCAGUAUGAGGACAUCUUUUCAUGCCAUCGUAUUGACUGCAGAGAAGCUAAGAACUUUGUACACUGUAUACACCUCUCAGAAAGAGAUCAUUCACACUACCUUACAGGCUUGUUCCACCAAGGCAGUACCAAAAGUUAAAACAGGUUUUGAGUGAAAUGGAGGAGAGAGAAAUUAUCUGGAAAUCCACUAGUUAGUAUGCUUUACCAUUGGUGCUUGUGUGGAAAAAGAAUGGAGGCUUCCGGAUUUGCACAGAUUUUCACUGGCUAAACAAGAGGACCGUGAAAGACGCUCACCUUCUCCCUCACCAAGCUGAUUGUUUAGCGGCACUGAGGGGUAAUUGCCUCUUUUACACUAUGGAUUUGACAUCUGACUUCUAUAACAUGCCGCUUCUUGAGAAUGAUAGGAAGUACUCUCCGUAUACCGCAGGCCCUCUGCAACAUUCCUGCAAGUGUUUUGCGAAUUAUGACCAACAUUUUUGAAGACCAAAAUUAUUUGAAUUUGCUGUUUUUUGGAUUAUCUUUUGAUGUUUGCACCUGAUAAAAACCCAGUUUUGCUGAGACUGCAAAUGGUGUGAAGACUGUUCAGAAGACUCAGUCUGGUGAGCAUGUUAAAAUUGUGACGCUUUUUAUGGGUCAAAUAGACUCAAAAAUUGCAACAGCAGCUGCGUGGGGGGGGGGGGCCCAAACAAAUUUUUGUCAGGGGGCCCACGAUUCCUGGCUGCACCAGUUGCUACAUGCAGUUGGAGGUGCGAGUUUGACCUUUUGUUGGGUGAGUGUUGGUUCUGUGUUCACCAGGUUGAUUCCUCCUAACAUUUGUCCUAGCUUGUUGUAUUUUAUUAGGUUUUUAAAAUAGAAGAAUAAAAUUUAUUUUUAAUGUUGCAAAUAAAUAAAAUAUAUUUUGUAUACAACUUCUGUUUUGUCAUUUGAAGCCAGACCUACCUGGAUACUUUUAAUAUGGAGACCCUAAGUUAUCUAACAUAAUUUGAGAAAUCUACCAGUUGGCUAUAAGGCCACGUCCUCGGUCACAAUCUGGUUUCUUCCCCCGUGUUACACAUGGUUGGUUUUAGACAAAACAUUUUUUGAGAAUGUGCACAGGGUGGCGGGUUUUGAUAUGGGCUUCAUGGGCAGUUGUCCUUGCCGGUAUCAUAAAAGGGUUUGGCAUCCAAGAACUCGAAAUUAAAAUAGAUCUAAUAAAAUACAUCUUAUCAAUCAGUUGGCUCCUGAACAAGUUUGGUACCACUUGUAUGCAUGCAUAGUGGAGUAAAUUUAUCUUAGUUGCUAUUGAGUAUGGGAGUCUACAAAUGCAAAUGCAUUUGCAAUGCAAAUGCAUUGUUGGUGUGCAGCAAGAGGGGUUUGCACAGCUGUGUGCAUAUUUAUAUUUCAAGCUUACAAAUUUAGGCAUAGUGAUUAAUUGUGAUUAAUCAGCUCGUGCCAGAUUCUGCUAUGGGCGACCGCCCAGGGCGGCAUCUUGUGAGUGGUAACAAGACCAACUCCUCACCUUUCUUACCGCCCCAGAUAUUCCAAUUGUCUGUGUCUCACUGUAACUUCCAUCCUUCUGUCCAUAGACUAAUGGAUGAAAAACACAGUAAGAUAUUGCCAUCUCACUGUAUCUGCCAUCCUUAGGGUCUACAGAUGCAGGCACAGAAGGUACAUUCUCUGUGUCUCUGUCUCCAAACAUAGUAUAAGGAUAGAGACAGCGGAAUGUAUCUGUCUAUGGAAAUGUCUCUCUGUACCUGAGUAUUAACUUAAAAUUAACUCUAAUAUCACUGAACACUGUUAUUUUUCAGGAAACUGCAUCAAGUGCCCAAGCAGGUCCAGCAGCACCUUUUGCCACCUAGAGUAUUUUUUCAUAGGUACCUGGCAUAUCGGAAAUUUCGGAAGAUGCUGGCUGCUGUUUUGGCAACUUCAAGGCUGAGGGUCCGGUUGAUGGGAUCUGCAGAGCGAUCAACACUCAGACUGAGAUGAUACGGGACCUGAGCCGCAGACUGAGUGCAAUCCUGGAACAGGACCGUGGCUGGGCAGCGGAUCUCGGACUCAGAAUGGAUAUGGUGUGACCUUGAAGAACAUUGCUCGCACGGAUCAGGCGGGAGACCCUAAAUUUGACUGUUUGGAUUUGCCAUUGAGAAACACCAGCGAGACUUUCAAGGAAGGCAGAAAAUUGAUGUCAGCCUGACCUAAACAAAUUAUUGCUAUUGGAAUCCGGACCCCGGGCUGGCCUUGGCUAGCUGUCCUCCCCUGGUUGUUAUAUCUAAAGAAGACUCUCCGUAGAAGACAACUACCAGAAGACGUGAUUUGUGUCUUUCUUUACUGUCUUCUACAAGUAUGUGUAACAUUUUAAAUGUGUUGAUGUUCAGACAUAAACGUUCUAGCUGUUUGUUUUUGUGUAUUUGUUUGUCCACUAGGUGGGUGGUACUAUUGUACUAAAAAGGCCAGUAAUAUUAUUUUCUGUUUUUUGUGGCGGGGACAAAAUAAUUUCUUUCUGCUUCUAAGAUUUUAU